GAGUUUGAUCCUGGCUCAGGAUGAACGCUGGCGGCGUGCCUAACACAUGCAAGUGGAGCGACGAACCCGGACUUGUCCGGGGGCAAAGCCGCGAACGGGUGAGUAACACGUGGAUUAUCUGCCCCAAUGACCGGGACAACCCGAGGAAACUCGAGCUAAUACCGGAUGUGCUCUUCGGAGGAAAGGAAGCUUCGGCCUCCGCAUUGGGAUGAGUCCGCGGCGCAUUAGCUAGUUGGUGGGGUAAAGGCCUACCAAGGCGACGAUGCGUAGCUGGUCUGAGAGGACGAUCAGCCACACUGGAACUGAGACACGGUCCAGACUCCUACGGGAGGCAGCAGUGGGGAAUCUUGCGCAAUGCACGAAAGUGUGACGCAGCAACGCCGCGUGCGGGAAGAAGGUCUUCGGAUCGUAAACCGCUUUCAGUUGGGACGAGGGUCAGCUAGUGAAUAGCCAGUCUGACUGACGGUACCUUCAGAAGAAGCCUCGGCUAACUACGUGCCAGCCGCCG
rnacentral:rRNA from 1 species